rnacentral:rRNA from 1 species
UACGUAGGGGGCUAGCGUUGUCCGGAUUUACUGGGCGUAAAGAGCGCGCAGGCGGUCGUUCAAGUCGCGUGUGAAAGCCCCCGGCUCAACUGGGGAGGGUCACGCGAUACUGAUCGACUCGAAGGCAGGAGAGGGAAGUGGAAUUCCCGGUGUAGUGGUGAAAUGCGUAGAGAUCGGGAGGAACACCGGUGGCGAAGGCGGGUCUCUGGGCAAUUCCUGACGCUGAGGCGCGAAAGCGUGGGGAGCAAACGGG